UCAGUUCUAAUUACACGUGUGUGACAUGGGAGCAAUCGCGCGAAGGCGAUGAUUACAUGGAGAUAACCUCCAUGGGUGAUUAUCGCUACCGCCACGCGCGGGCGUUACGCGCAUCCAUGGUAUAAAGAUAUUGUUACGCCCGGUAUUGGAAGUCCGGCGCGUGAACGGAGCUGCGUUGUUUGACGAUAGGAGAUCGUGUUCUGUUUCUGUUUGUUCGUUCUGGAUCUAAUUUUGAUCUUGUGACACGUUUUGAAUUAAAGAAGAAUUCUUUUAUAAACGAGUCGACUAAUUUCUUAGUGCGUGUGUGAAUAAGAGUGCGCGAGUGAACCGUAUUGCGGGCCUAUCUUUGGCGGACGCAUCAAUAUAUUUAUAUCACGCGCGCACCGCAGACAAGAGAAAAGCGCAAGCACCAUCGAUCCCAUAUCAAACAGCUAGAAUUAUUUUUUUGCGUUGCCUUGCGACAACGGCUGUCGAGAGCGGAACGUCGAGAUUGGCUGGUCGGCCGCGUACGGUAAUUGUAAACCACUUGAUAGAAGAAGAAAAAGAGAGCGAGACACCGACCUUGAUGAGGAGCGAUUCCCGGCCGGUUGCUAAAGAGCUAGCGAGAGAUGUAAAGCAAGGAGUUGUUGCCAGAGCGAAUUAACGUGACGAAGAGGACUACACCGAGGAGAAGCUGCCGUGCUGGUGUUCGUCGGCCCGAAAGAUCGUUUUUGUUAUAGUGUUUGAUAAGUCGAUCACCUGCAAGAGCAAAGAGGAUCUCGUCGCGAGCUAAGGAGAAAUUAGCCUCGCGUGGAACGUUGUAUGUUCUCCUGGGGUAUUGUGUCGCUGGGACAGCCGAGGGAAGUGCAAAAUCAAGUUUUAAACUCGAUCUGCACCGCGUGCUCCUAGCUCUCAUUCGACCAUGCGUCAUGCGAGUCGGUAACGCAAGCUCGCGUGAUCACCGCGUGAUCGAGGCUGCGUUUACUUUCGCGAUCAAAGCGCUUGUAAACAUCAUUUAUCCUUGUUCAAGAUUUAUAAACAAUAAGGAUGAAAUGAUGCUUAUAAGCGCUUACAGCACGUGAGUGUCCAAAGUAAACGCACCCCGGGUCGUGCCGCGAAUACGGGUGCAUCUGGUCUAUCGCUGGUACUUGUCGCUGCUGCAUAGUAUUUUCGCGUGCCGAUGCCGGACUCUGAUUCUCGCGUUCAUUACCGCUGCGGUAGCGAUAUUCGCAUCAAGAUCUUGCUCUGAUCAAUUUGGUCCAUCUUUUAUCUAAUUUGGUGUAUACAAGUCACGGUCUUGAAUUUAAAUAAAAAAAUAAAUAUAUUUUCUAUACGAAUUUUAAAAACAUUGCUAAGUAGAAAUUCGAAACAAAUUUUACUUCGAUCGACGCUGGUGUUGUAUUUGAUUCCAUUAAUCUCGAGAGUCCGCAAGUCAUCGGCUCAAAUAUAAUACACAAGUCGGUCUUACGCUGUUUCAGUAUCCAGUUAGACAACCGAUUUAUGUGGAACACUCAUUGACAACACUAAACUUGUUAGCUAAACUACUAGAAAUAAUAAAAAAUAAUAAAUCUAAUUACUAAACAAUUUAAAGUAAACUUAGGUGUUAAAGCUCCUGAAGUAUUCAAAGACUUAUAUCUUUGGUUAAAUUUGAUGAAGGACAUAAAACGAAAUAUUUAAAAUCUCUAGAGAAAGAGGAAAUUCCCUAUUUACCUAGAGAUUUUAAAUAUUUUGUUCUAUGUCCUUCUUCGGCUGCGUUCCGAUAUACACUGCAAGUACUGAAAAUCUAUAGUUCACGUUACGUAUACUAUAGAUUUUCAGUACUGGCAGUGAAUUUGGGAACGCAGCCUUCAUCAAACCACAAAUCAUAUAAGUUGUUGAAUGCUUUAAGAGCUUUAGCGCCUAAUCCAUAUAAAAUACUGGACACGUUAUCUAGAUUUAUUAAUAAAUCUAGCUAAUGUGUCCAGUAUUUUAAGUGGAUCAGGCACUAAAGCUCCUAAAGCAUUCAAAGACUUAUAUGAUCUAUUGAAGAAGGACAUAAAACAAAAUAUUUAAAAUCUCUAGAGAAAGAGGGAAUAAAUUCGAUAUAGUUUGCAUAUAGAAUUUUGGCAAUUUUUGGAUAGAAAAUUACGUUUAUAUAAAAAAAUUGAAUUUAUUAUGUAAAUACCAAUACAAGUAACUUUGUUUAAAUUUCAAAUGAUACUAAAAUUUAAAAAAAAAUAAAAUUUUGCAAAUUUAAUUUGAUUGGCAGCAAUUAUUACAUAAAUACAUACGAUGAGUGUCGCACAUCGGACGUAAACAGGAGGAACAUUGAUAUUUGGUUUUACGAUUUUUCAUAUAAUAGCGUAAUGCACAGCAACUCUCUUUGCAAUAAAGACCUAUUCACUUCUUAUGCAGGAUUCGACGAUACGCCGUCUGAUAGCUUAUUUUUCGAAUAACGUGGAUUUUAUUUUAAUCUAAGGCGGAUUAAUAAUUGUUUUAAUACAAUAAUGGUACAUGCUCUAUUUUAAGUUCUUGGGUGAUUCCAACAUACAGCAAUUUUCAAUAAUUAAACAUCUUGUUAAUUAUUUCAUAGUAUGCAAAAUGAUAGAGAACGUUUCUGUUUAGUUUGACCUGCUCCAUCAGCCUGUGAGCAAACAAAAUUUUUAACAAAUUUUCAGAGUAAAUUCAAAAACUUAUUUCAGUUCUUGAAAGAUUAGAAAAAAUUGAAACGUUGGAAUGGAAAUCAUCAAACUUAAAAUACGCAUAUAUUAAAAUGUAAUAUAAAAUUGAUAUACAUAAAUAAUAUACUUUGACUGGCAAUCGUAUAUAAAUCGUACUUACAUUUUCUUAAAAAUCACUAGUAAUUGCAAUAUUUUGAGUAUUAAGAUAUUGAUGUUUUCGUUAUCGCAUGAUAGAAAUCUCAAUAAUUUAAAAAAUUUUUUGCUAUUCUCUUUAAUCAAAUUUGAAAUUAUAAUAAACGUUCAGUGAUAAAACGUGCAAAAUACUUACGAUGGACCAGUGGCAACGUUUUUAACAGAUAGAUACAAAAGAUUUAACAGAUAGAUACAAAAGCGAUCUUCCUAAUUUAUCAAAGAUAAUGCAGAUUGAAUAUGCUUUAAUGCGCCAUUUGGAAAUUAUCUUUAAUGUCUAAAAGUCUGAAUAUUAAAUAGAUAUCUUAAGUUGAAAACUUUAACAAAAUAUAAUGAACGCUAAACAAAUAUUGUAAAAUCGUUUUUGCAUAUGAAAAUACAUUGCCAUUACUAUAAGAACACUUGGAGAAUACAAUAAUUGUAUUAAUCAAGAUUUAUAAUAUGUAUACAUUUUGAAAUCUUGAUAAUAUAUUUGAUACAUCAAGAUAUAAUUAAUUGAUGAUAUAUCUCAAAUGUUGCAUUUUCUAUCUGGUAGAUAUAGCUAUCAAAAUGCUUGUUACGAUUCUCGAAAUUAAAAUUAUUAUACCUCACCAUAUUAGUUUCACCUACAUGUUUUAAAUAUGAUUAAAAUAUAUAAUGUAACCCAUAUAAAUAACGUAUACAUGCGAUAAAGGAUACAUGGAUGUCUAAAAUAGAAUCUUAACAUCUACAUAUGGAAACUGUUCAUUUAAAUUUAAGAAACAAUUUUUAUGUUUCUAAAUACAUUUUGUAUCAUAAAAUUUAAUACAAAUAGAAAUAUUUGGAAAAUUUA